GGCUUAACACAUGCAAGUCGAGCGGAAACGAUGGGAGCUUGCUCCCAGGCGUCGAGCGGCGGACGGGUGAGUAACACUUAGGAAUCUACCUAGUAGUGGGGGAUAGCUCGGGGAAACUCGAAUUAAUACCGCAUACGUCCUACGGGAGAAAGGGGGCAGUUUACUGCUCUCGCUAUUAGAUGAGCCUAAGUCGGAUUAGCUAGUUGGUGGGGUAAAGGCCUACCAAGGCGACGAUCUGUAGCUGGUCUGAGAGGAUGAUCAGCCACACCGGGACUGAGACACGGCCCGGACUCCUACGGGAGGCAGCAGUGGGGAAUAUUGGACAAUGGGGGMAACCCUGAUCCAGCCAUGCCGCGUGUGUGAAGAAGGCCUUUUGGUUGUAAAGCACUUUAAGCAGUGAAGAAGACCUAACGGUUAAUACCCGUUAGCGAUGACAUUAGCUGCAGAAUAAGCACCGGCUAACUCUGUGCCAGCAGCCGCGGUAAUACAGAGGGUGCAAGCGUUAAUCGGAAUUACUGGGCGUAAAGCGAGCGUAGGUGGCUUGAUAAGUCAGAUGUGAAAUCCCCGGGCUUAACCUGGGAACUGCAUCUGAUACUGUCAGGCUAGAAUAGGUGAGAGGAAGGUAGAAUUCCAGGUGUAGCGGUGAAAUGCGUAGAGAUCUGGAGGAAUACCGAUGGCGAAGGCAGCCUUCUGGCAUCAUAUUGACACUGAGGUUCGAAAGCGUGGGUAGCAAACAGGAUUAGAUACCCUGGUAGUCCACGCCGUAAACGAUGUCUACUAGUCGUUGGGUCCCUUGAGGACUUAGUGACGCAGCUAACGCAAUAAGUAGACCGCCUGGGGAGUACGGCCGCAAGGUUAAAACUCAAAUGAAUUGACGGGGGCCCGCACAAGCGGUGGAGCAUGUGGUUUAAUUCGAUGCAACGCGAAGAACCUUACCUGGUCUU
rnacentral:rRNA from 1 species